GGCCUGAUGGUGUAGUUGGAAACAUGUCCUCUUUAUGUAUGAAGUUGGUGUCUUCUUCAGAGGAAGUUCCUUGUUCGAAUCAAGGUCAAGCUG